rnacentral:rRNA from 1 species
UACGGAGGGUGCAAGCGUUAUCCGGAUUCACUGGGUUUAAAGGGUGCGUAGGUGGAAUGUAAGUCAGUGGUGAAAUCUCCGUGCUUAACAUGGAAACUGCCAUUGAUACUAUGUUUCUUGAAUUUUCUGGAGGUAAGCGGAAUAUGUCAUGUAGCGGUGAGAUGCUUAGAUAUGACAUAGAACACCAAUUGCGAAGGCAGCUUGCUACAGGGAUAUUGACACUGAGGCACGAAAGCGUGGGGAUCAAACAGG